rnacentral:rRNA from 1 species
AACGAACGCUGGCGGCAUGCCUAACACAUGCAAGUCGAACGAGACCUUCGGGUCUAGUGGCGCACGGGUGCGUAACGCGUGGGAAUCUGCCCUUAGGUUCGGAAUAACAGUUAGAAAUGACUGCUAAUACCGGAUAAUGACUUCGGUCCAAAGAUUUAUCGCCUAAGGAUGAGCCCGCGUAGGAUUAGCUAGUUGGUGAGGUAAAGGCUCACCAAGGCUACGAUCCUUAGCUGGUCUGAGAGGAUGAUCAGCCACACUGGGACUGAGACACGGCCCA